CGUCAAGUCCUCAUGGCCUUUAUGUCCUAGGGCUACACACGUACUACAAUGGCCGGUACAAGAGCAGCCACUCAGCGAUGAGGCGCUAAUCCCAUAAAGCCGGUCUCAGUCCGGAUCGCAGUCUGCAACUCGACUGCGUGAAGUUGGAAUCGCUAGUAAUCGCGGAAUCAGCAUGCCGCGGUGAAUACGUUCCCGGGCCUU
rnacentral:rRNA from 1 species